GAUGAACGCUGGCGGCGUGCUUAACACAUGCAAGUCGAACGGGAUCCCAGGGGUGCUUGCACUUUUUGGUGAGAGUGGCGAACGGGUGAGUAACACGUGUGUAACCUGUCCUUUUCUUUGGGAUAAGCAUUCGAAAGGGUGUUUCAUACCUUAUGUUCUGUCUGCCUCGCAUGGGGUGGGUGGGAAAGGCUUUGGCCGGACUUGGGUGGGCUCGCGGUCUAUCUGCGUGUUGGUGGGGUGAUGGCUUACCAAGGCUUUGACGGGUAGCGGGCCUGAGAGGGCGCUCGGUCAGAGUGAGAGUGAGGUACGCUCCAGGCUGCUGCAGGAGGCAACAGUGGGGGAUGGUGGAAAAUGGGCUAAAGCCUUGUGGAGCGAGGCCGCAUGGGCUUUGGAGGCUUACGGGUUGUAAACUGCUUUGACUCUCAGCAAGGCAAGCCAGUGGGGGUGUGGCGUGAAGGGGUGAAUAAGCGCCGGCUAACUACGUG
rnacentral:rRNA from 1 species